rnacentral:rRNA from 1 species
GGGCCCAAAGUCCACCACAAAAGGCAUCACUAUGAUUCGUGCCCGUCAGUUUCAAUUCCCAGUUUUCGUUUGGAGAAGGGAAUUUCUUAAAAAAGAAGAAAUGGAUGUCUCCUACUGAGGUGCGGCCCAUAGGAUGAAUCUGCGGCCGAUUAGUAGUUGUUGGGGUAACGGCCCAACAAGCCCGCCCCCCCCCCCCGGGUGGGGGAGCAAAAGCCCGGAGAUGUCUUUUUAUUUGCACGAUUCCAGGCCCUACGGGGGAGGGGGGGGGGCAAAGGGGGUUGCGGGGAAAGAGCCCGACCCCCACCCCCGAGGGGGGGGAAAUUUUUUUUUUUAAAAAAAGAUUAAAACCCUCUCUUUUUUUCUUUUUCCCGCCAAGAUAUUUAAAAGCUCUUUCUCUCUUCCCCCCCUUAGGACGAGGGGGUGACCCCUUUUAUUGGGGCUCAAGAAGUACGAAAGCAUAGAUAUUUUAAAGCACCUUGGGAAAAACUUUAGGGCCUACAUUGUUAAGGCGUCCUAAAAAAAUCUUGGGGAAUCCUAGGGACCCUGAAAGGUAAAAAGGCCCCUUCAGGGGUAAGAAAGUGAAAUUUCAGUAAUUCCUGGAGGGACCACCCGAAUGGGGAGAGGGCCCUUCCCCCAAAACUG